rnacentral:rRNA from 1 species
GAUGAACGCUGGCGGCGUGCCUAAUACAUGCAAGUCGAGCGAACAGACGAGGAGCUUGCUCCUCUGACGUUAGCGGCGGACGGGUGAGUAACACGUGGAUAACCUACCUAUAAGACUGGGAUAACUUCGGGAAACCGGAGCUAAUACCGGAUAAUAUAUUGAACCGCAUGGUUCAAUAGUGAAAGACGGUUUUGCUGUCACUUAUAGAUGGAUCCGCGCCGCAUUAGCUAGUUGGUAAGGUAACGGCUUACCAAGGCAAUGAUGCGUAGCCGACCUGAGAGGGUGAUCGGCCACACUGGAACUGAGACACGGUCCAGACUCCUACGGGAGGCAGCAGUAGGGAAUCUUCCGCAAAGGGCGAAAGCCUGACGGAGCAACGCCGCGUGAGUGAUGAAGGUCUUCGGAUCGUAAAACUCUGUUAUUAGGGAAGAACAAAUGUGUAAGUAACUAUGCACGCCUUGACGGUACCUAAUCAGAAAGCCACGGCUAACUACGUG